AGUGAACGCUGGCGGUAGGCCUAACACAUGCAAGUCGAACGGCAGCACAGUAAGAGCUUGCUCUUACGGGUGGCGAGUGGCGGACGGGUGAGGAAUACAUCGGAAUCUACUUUUUCGUGGGGGAUAACGUAGGGAAACUUACGCUAAUACCGCAUACGACCUACGGGUGAAAGCAGGGGAUCUUCGGACCUUGCGCGAUUGAAUGAGCCGAUGUCGGAUUAGCUAGUUGGCGGGGUAAAGGCCCACCAAGGCGACGAUCCGUAGCUGGUCUGAGAGGAUGAACGCCCACCAUGAAACUGAGACACGGGCCAGCCCCCUAGGGGAGGCAGAAGGGGGGAAUUUUGGAAAAGGGGGGAAACCCUGACCCAGCCAAACCGGGGGGGGGAAGAAGGCCUUCGGGUUGUAAAGCCCUUUUGUUGGGAAAGAAAAGCAGCAGGUUAAUACCCCGCUGUUCUGACGGUACCCAAAAAAUAAGCACCGGCAAACUUCGU
rnacentral:rRNA from 1 species